CUCCUUGCGCAGUGGCAAUAUCGUAACCAAUGAAGGCCUCCUGAGGUGCGAUUAUUGCUAGUUGAAAACUUUUACCAACUAGACCUACGAAUCUACGUAUAUAUUGUUGGUUAGUGGAUUCGAUUCCCGGUCUUAGUCC
rnacentral:snRNA from 1 species